AAUGUGAAAGCAAAUGCUUACAGAAAGAAUGUGGUGGUUCACAGUGGUCCAGUCUUUCCAACUGUUCCUGAUACUCAAACAUCCAAACUGCAGGGUAAAGCACCUGUGACCACUGGCUAUGCAGUCUUUGGAGCUACUGCUGGAAUCUUAAUGGUGAUAUUGGCUUUGGCUGUGGUGGCUAAAAGAAAACUGUAGUCAAGAACAAAAAUAAACCCAUUUUACAAAGCAA